rnacentral:lncRNA from 1 species
AAAAAGAAAAAGAAAUUGUGUAAAUUUCACUUAAAAAGUGCAACUUUUGCCUAAAAAGUGUAACUCUCAUUUCACAUAGUGUAAUUUCUGUCUCAAAGAGUGCAACUUUCAUUUAAAAUAGUGCAAUUUUUUUUUCAAACAGUAUAAUUUUAUUUUAACAGUGCAAUUUCAUUAUAUUCUUUCUUCUUCUAUAAUAUUUUAUCUUUACUGUAAAAAAAAUAUUUUUAUUUUUAUUUUUUUUCUCUCUAUAAUUUUUUUUUGUCAUGACCGGAGUAUAAUUAUUUUUCUCCUCCU